AGAAAAGCAGAACACAUGUUCUGCAGCUGAACUUCACAGAGAUGCUGGUUUAAUGAAACAGUGGUAGCCACCUCUUCUAUAACCCCGCAGUAGCAACAAAAUAGAGGCACCAAGGGGAGAAAAAGGAUAGAAAUCUAGACUGUCUAAGGGCAGAUCAGUGAGCUGCAUCUUGGUGAAUGAUCCCUGCAAACCACAAAGUUCUUCCUCUGCUGAGCCAAGUUCUGAGGCAGAAGAUUCAGCGUGCCUUCAGAAUUUCAGAGGCAACCAAGCUAAAAAUAUCAUCUCUCAGAAAUCCUUGCAGACACGGUUCCAGAUGUGACUGAGCUUGGGAGAGGACUCACUUACCUAGUGUUUGAGAAAGUUGCCGAUUGACACAUUGUAAUCAAGAUUCACUCAAGAGACUGCCCUAGUCUGAAGAGAACAAUCUUCCUGGAAGACACAUCAGGUUGCUGCACAAAAUUGGGGUUCUCUGCCCGAUGCACAUAAACAAGCCAAUUAAUUAUGGCACCCGCAUUUGAGGGGAGAAAUCAGCUUUUAUUCUAUGAGAUCUACCUGCAGGGAGACAGGGGGCAUGUGCCCUCAGAUCUGUCUCCCUGAUUUAGGAUUUGGGACAAAAUUUAAGAAGUUGGGGAGAACAAGUUGAUGCAUAGAAAUGCUGGUGGGACAGGUUUGGACUGGUGGGCUUCAGGCGUUCAUGGUAAAGUUUUAAAUACUUAUGAUGAGGUUCUAAAUGUUUAUAAUGGGGUUUUGACAUUUUU
rnacentral:lncRNA from 1 species